UUUUCUUUUUGUUUUUAUUUUUCAAAAGUAAGUACUGCUUAUUUUUUCGUUAAUUUUUUUUUGCUCGAUCUUUCAAUAACUUUUAUACUACGUAGUUCUCUCCUCCAUCGUUCUUAUUCAUUCUUUUCUAAAGGCUUUGAUUACGAGGCCUCCCAUCCCACCAUUUUUCGGAUCUCUCCUCUUAACUACUUUCGAUUCUUUGAUCAUAAAAGAUCUAUUAAUUUGCUUUUAUUUUUUUUCCUGAAUUGAUUUUUGUUGAGUUGUGUGAAACAUAAUUUUGAUUGGGAAUUGAUUAUGAUUUUAGUGGAUUUAAUGCUUGUGAAUCCAUCAUUGUUUUGUUCUGUUGAUAUUCGAAAUUGCGAAGAAAUUUGUGGUUUCUCACUAUUGUUGUUCUUCAUUGUCUAGGGUUUGCAAUUUUGUCGAGCGUCAUUGAAGCUCUUGCUUGCUGCGAUUUUCAUCUUAAAGGUUCUGAUGGUGCGGCGAAGUGGUGUAUGGCGAGUUCUUACAUUUUCCUAUAAUUCCCUUGCAACUUAUUUUAACGAAAUUCAGAGAAUUAAAGCAGGCUGAUAGUGAAGAUCUCGGCAUUUACGUUAUUGAACAUGAUGGUUCACGCGUAAUACUAUGGGAUUAAUGUAAGCUUAAGGAAAAAUUGAUGGUGGUUGAAUAAACAAGCUCGAAGAUGAGCUGACUAAUAACUAGGUGUUUAUCCAAUUUCUCGUUUGAUUUUUCCUACUUAUUUUUUUAAUUAUAUGAAUUGGAAGGAAGAGGUCUGUCAUACACUCAUACUGUUAUGUUUGUGGAUAAUCUGUGUAUGAAAUGUGCUCUCAGUAAACUGCUUAUCCAUAUGAAGUACAUGAUUUGCAAGUUA